UACAGAGGCCUCGAGCGUUAGGCGGAAUCACUGGGCUUAAAGCGUGUGUAGGCGGACCCCUAAGUGCCUUGUGAAAUCCCACGGCUCAACCGUGGAAGGUCAUUGGAAACUGGGGGACUUGAGUACAGAAGAGGAAAGCGGAAUUCCAAGUGUAGCGGUGAAAUGCGUAGAGAUUUGGAGGAACACCAGUGGCGAAGGCGGCUUUCUGGUCUGUAACUGACGCUGAGGCGCGAAAGCGUGGGGAGCAAACAGGG
rnacentral:rRNA from 1 species